AUUGAACGCUGGCGGCAGGCCUAACACAUGCAAGUCGAGCGAGCGGCGGACGGGUGAGUAAUGUAUGGGGACUGCCCGAUAGAGGGGGAUAACUACUGGAAACGGUAGCUAAUACCGCAUACUAUCGGAUAACCCAUAUGGGAUUAGCUAGUAGGUGAGGUAAUGGCUAACCUAGGCGAAGAUCCCUAGCUGGUCUGAGAGGAUGAUCAGCCACACUGUGAGUUAGACCCGGCCCAGAUUGCUCAGGAGGCAGCAGUGGGGAAUAUUGCACAAGGGGCGCAAGCCUGAUGCAGCCAUGCCGCGUGUAUGAAGAAGGCCCUAGGGUUGUAAAGUACGUUCAGUCGGGAGGCGUUACCGACAGAAGAAGCACCGGCUAACUCCGUGCCAGCCGCCGCGGUAAUUC
rnacentral:rRNA from 1 species